rnacentral:tRNA from 1 species
GCACUGCUGGUGUAGUGGUAUCAUGCAAGACUCCCAUCCUUGCGAUCCGGGUUCGAUUCCCGGGCAGUGCA